GUGGGGAAUAUUGGGCAAUGGGCGAAAGCCUGACCCAGCAACGCCGCGUGAAGGAAGAAGGUCUUCGGAUCGUAAACUUCUAUCCUUGGUGAAGAUAAUGACGGUAGCCGAGAAGGAAGCCCCGGCUAACUACGUGCCAGCAGCCGCGGUAAUACGUAGGGGGCAAGCGUUGUCCGGAAUGAUUGGGCGUAAAGGGCGCGUAGGCGGCCUGGUAAGUCUGGAGUGAAAGUCCUGCUUUUAAGGUGGGAAUUGCUUUGGAUACUGUCGGGCUUGAGUGCAGGAGAGGUAAGCGGAAUUCCCGGUGUAGCGGUGAAAUGCGUAGAGAUCGGGAGGAACACCAGUGGCGAAGGCGGCUUACUGGACUGUAACUGACGCUGAGGCGCGAAAGUGUGGGGAGCAAACAGGAUUAGAUACCCCUGUAGUCC
rnacentral:rRNA from 1 species